rnacentral:rRNA from 1 species
AUUGAACGCUGGCGGCAGGCCUAACACAUGCAAGUCGAGCGAGCGGCGGACGGGUGAGUAAUGUAUGGGGACUGCCCGCUAGAGGGGGAUAACUACUGGAAACGGUGGCUAAUACCGCAUACUAUCGGAUAACCCAUAUGGGAGUUGCUAGUAGGGGGGGUAAAGGCUCACCUAGGCGACGGACUCUAGCUGGUCUGAGAGGUGGAGCAGCCACACUGGGACUGAGACCCGGCCCAGACUCCACCGGAGGCAGCAGUGGGUAAUAGUGAACAUGGGGCGCAAGCCUGAUGCAGCCAUGCCGCGUGUAUGAAGAGGGCCGUAGGGUUGUAAGGUACUUUCAGCGGGGAGGCGUUACCCGCAGAAGAAGCACCGGCUAACUCCGUGCCAGCAGCCGCGGUAAUUC